rnacentral:rRNA from 1 species
AGCGAACGCUGGCGGCAGGCUUAACACAUGCAAGUCGAGCGGGCACUUUCGGGUGUCAGCGGCGGACGGGUGAGUAACGCGUGGGAACGUGCCCUCUGGUUCGGAAUAACUCAGGGAAACUUGAGCUAAUACCGGAUACGCCCUUUUGGGGAAAGGCUUGCUGCCGGAGGAUCGGCCCGCGUCUGAUUAGCUAGUUGGUGAGGUAACGGCUCACCAAGGCGACGAUCAGUAGCUGGUCUGAGAGGAUGAUCAGCCACACUGGGACUGAGACACGGCCCAGACUCCUACGGGAGGCAGCAGUGGGGAAUAUUGGACAAUGGGCGCAAGCCUGAUCCAGCCAUGCCGCGUGAGUGAUGAAGGCCUUAGGGUUGUAAUGCUCUUUUAUCCGGGACGAUAAUGACGGUACCGGAGGAAUAAGCCCCGGCUAACUUCGUG